rnacentral:rRNA from 1 species
CCUACGGGUGGCAGCAGUGAGGAAUAUUGGUCAAUGGGCGAGAGCCUGAACCAGCCAAGUCGCGUGAAGGAUGACGGCCCUACGGGUUGUAAACUUCUUUUGUCAGGGAGCAAUUUGGUCCACGCGUGGGCUUAGCGAUAGUACCUGCCGAAAAAGCAUCGGCUAACUCCGUGCGAGCAGCCGCGGUAAUUCGGAGGAUGCGAGCGUUAUCCGGAUUUAUUGGGUUAAAAGGGUGCGAAGGCGGAAUAUCAAGUCAGCGGUAAAAAUUCGGGGCUCAACCCCGUCGUGCCGUUGAAACUGAUGUACUGGAGUGGGCGAGAAGUAAGCGGAAUGCGUGGUGUAGCGGUGAAAUGCAUAGAGAUCACGCAGAAC